GUUCAGUAUUGUUGAAGACGUAAGGUGUUUAGAGGAAGAAAAUGACAAACACCUACGGGACACCCAAAGAGAGAGUUCUGGAGAGGAAGGCAAGAACUCAGGGCAGAAGACAGAAAUUUGGAAGACUGCAUGAUGAAGAAAGACCAUUUCUCAGCUAGGACAGAGGGAAGGGGACACUGGUUCGAGCCCUGGUCUGGGAAGAUCCCACAUGCCGUGGAGCAACUAGGCCCGUGAGCCACAACUACUGAGCCUGCCCGUCUGGAGCCUGUGCUCCGCAACAAGAGAGGCCGUGAUAGUGAGAGGCCCACGCACCGCGAUGAAGAGUGGCCCCCGCUUGCCACAACUAGAGAAAGCCCUCGCACAAAAACGAAGA